ACCCGGCAUGGUAGUGCAUGCCUGUAAUCCCAGCUACUAGGAGGCUGAGGCAGGAGGCCAGCCUCAG
rnacentral:sRNA from 1 species